AGUGGCAGACGGGAGAGUAACACGUGGGAACGCGCCCUUCGGUUCGGAAUAACUCAGGGAAACUUGAGCUAAUACCGGAUACGCCCUUACGGGGAAAGAUUUAUUGCCGAAGGAACGGCCCGCGUCGGAUUAGCUAGUUGGUGAGGUAAUGGCUCACCAAGGCGACGAUCCGUAGCUGGUCUGAGAGGAUGACCAGCCUCACUGGGACUGAGACACGGCCCAGACUCC
rnacentral:rRNA from 1 species